rnacentral:rRNA from 1 species
UUCCGUAGGUGAACUUCGGAAGGAUCAUUAU